UACGUAGGGUGCAAGCGUUAAUCGGAAUUACUGGGCGUAAAGCGUGCGCAGGCGGUUCGCUAAGACAGAUGUGAAAUCCCCGGGCUUAACCUGGGAACUGCAUUUGUGACUGGCGGGCUAGAGUAUGGCAGGAGGGGGGUAGAAUUCCACGUGUAGCAGUGAAGUGCGUAGAGAUGUGGAGGAACACCGAUGGCGAAGGCAGCCCCCUGGGUCAAGACUGACGCUCAUGCACGAAAGCGUGGGGAGCAAACAGG
rnacentral:rRNA from 1 species